UGGGGAAUUUUGGACAAUGGGCGCAAGCCUGAUCCAGCAAUGCCGCGUGCAGGAUGAAGGCCUUCGGGUUGUAAACUGCUUUUGUACGGAACGAAAAGGCUCUGGCUAAUACCUGGGGCACAUGACGGUACCGUAAGAAUAAGCACCGGCUAACUACGUGCCAGCAGCCGCGGUAAUACGUAGGGUGCGAGCGUUAAUCGGAAUUACUGGGCGUAAAGCGUGCGCAGGCGGUUUUGUAAGACAGAGGUGAAAUCCCCGGGCUCAACCUGGGAACUGCCUUGUGACUGCAAGGCUGGAGUGCGGCAGAGGGGGAUGGAAUUCCGCGUGUAGCAGUGAAAUGCGUAGAUAUGCGGAGGAACACCGAUGGCGAAGGCAAUCCCCUGGGCCUGCACUGACGCUCAUGCACGAAAGCGUGGGGAGCAAACAGGAUUAGAUACCCUGGUAGUCCACGCCCUAAACGAUGUCAACUGGUUGUU
rnacentral:rRNA from 1 species